GUGUGUGUCUGUGUGUGUCUGUGUGUGUGUCUCUGUAUGUAUGUGUCUGUGUCAUACAGACACAUACAUACAGAGACACAGACACAUACAUACAGACACACACAUACAGACACAUACA